rnacentral:rRNA from 1 species
CGGGCCGCACAAGCGGUGGAGCAUGUUGGUUUAAUUCGAAGCAACGCGAAGAACCUUACCAGGUCUUGACAUCCCUGACAACCCGAGAGAUCGGGCGUUCCCCCUUCGGGGGACAGGGUGACAGGUGGUGCAUGGUUGUCGUCAGCUCGUGUCGUGAGAUGUUGGGUUAAGUCCCGCAACGAGCGCAACCCUCGACCUUAGUUGCCAGCAUUCAGUUGGGCACUCUAAGGUGACUGCCGGCUAAAAGUCGGAGGAAGGUGGGGAUGACGUCAAAUCAUCAUGCCCCUUAUGACCUGGGCUACACACGUGCUACAAUGGGCGGUACAAAGGGUCGCGAACCCGCGAGGGGGAGCCAAUCCCAAAAAGCCGCUCUCAGUUCGGAUUGCAGGCUGCAACUCGCCUGCAUGAAGCCGGAAUCGCUAGUAAUCGUGGAUCAGCAACGCCACGGUGAAUACGUUCCCGGGCCUU